rnacentral:lncRNA from 1 species
CACCCCCCCCCCUUCUCGGCAGCGGCUUUCCCCUUGCCCACUAAUGCGCUGCUCACACAUGGAGUCGCGGCGUCACCCGGCGGAGCAUGCGCGGGGCAGGGCCCGUCCUGGGCCGCGGGGACGGGCCGGGGCCGGAGCAGCAGCAGGAGCAGUAGGAGCAGUGGUAGCAGUAAAAGCAGUGGUAGCAGUAGAAGCAGUGGCAGCAGGAGCAGCAGCAGCAGCCGCGCGGGGGCCCGGCGCCGCUUCCGGGCAAUGGUGGAGCAAGGAAUGUGGCACGAGCCCAGGGACCGGCACCGCUAUUGAUUUUGGUAGCCAAAACUGA